rnacentral:rRNA from 1 species
UACAGAGGAGCCAAGCGUUGUCCGGAUUUACUGGGCGUAAAGGGCGCGUAGGCGGCCACCGCAAGUCGACUGUGAAAUCUCCGGGCUUAACCCGGAAAGGUCAGCCGAUACUGCGGGGCUAGAGUGCAGAAGGGGCAACUGGAAUUCUCGGUGUAGCGGUGAAAUGCGUAGAUAUCGGAAGGAACAUCAGUGGCGAAAGCGACUUCCUGGACCAAUACUGACGCUCAUGUGCGAAAGCGUGGGGAGCAAACAGG